rnacentral:rRNA from 1 species
UACGUAGGGGGCAAGCGUUGUUCGGAAUUACUGGGCGUAAAGGGCUCGUAGGCGGCCAACUAAGUCGGAUGUGAAAUCCCCAGGCUUAACUUGGGAACUGCAUCCGAUACUGGAUGGCUUGAAUCCGGGAGAGGGAUGCGGAAUUCCAGGUGUAGCGGUGAAAUGCGUAGAUAUCUGGAGGAACACCGGUGGCGAAGGCGGCAUCCUGGACCGGCAUUGACGCUGAUGAGCGAAAGCCAGGGGAGCAAACGGG